UACGGGGGGAGCAAGCGUUGUUCGGAUUUGCUGGGCGUAAAGGGCGCGUAGGCGGCCAGCGCAAGUCAGUUGUGAAAUCUCCGGGCUUAACUCGGAAAGGUCAACUGAUACUGCGCGGCUAGAGUGCAGAAGGGGCAACUGGAAUUCUCGGUGUAGCGGUGAAAUGCGUAGAUAUCGAGAGGAACACCUGCGGCGAAGGCGGGUUGCUGGGCUGACACUGACGCUGAUGCGCGAAAGCCAGGGGAGCGAACGGG
rnacentral:rRNA from 1 species